CCCACACCACUUUUAUCAUUGCAUACAAAACAAAACUCUAUCUGCAAAACGUGGUUGAAUAAUCUUCACAUGAAAAAUUAGGCUUCCUUUAAUUGUUGACGUCGAUUCACUAUAUAUGUUUUAAGGGAAGAAACAUAACCAAGUUGACUCUCUUCUUCGUAUUCGGACUAGAGGAUAUUAUCAGCUUAAUAUAAAUAAUAUAUAGUUUCUUGAUUUUUCUGACCCUGCAGAAUUUCAUCAUUUCGACGACUCUUAAGAGUGACUUCCCACUUAACUGGAAUAAUUGAUUUAGCUGCAUAGAAAAAUUGACUUGCGAUUGAUUUAUGCAUCAUAACACGAGUCGAAAAAAAUUCACCAUUUUAGUACUCGAAAUCCUACACGAGUCGAAAAAAAUUCAAUAUUGUUAGGAACGUAGUUUGCGUGUAGAAGAGACCAAGAAAGAAAGAGAUAUUUAGUCGGCCCUGCAUUUAGAAACACUGUGCUUCAUGCUACGUGUUUUUGAUGAAAAUAGAGUUUUAAGUGUUUUGGAGCAAGACCUAGAUUUGGCCUUGUACAUAGAAAAGAGUUGAGAGAAAACGAGCUUCCCCUGCUCAUUUAGGCAAAAGUUCUAGGCACGGUGAGAUCUCAAAAUCGAGAUUAUAUAUCAUGUGAGUCGAACCUGUUAAUCGAAACUUUGUAUUCGUAGAGGCACAUAGCAACAAUACCAAAAACAUGACUUUGUAUGCAAGAAUGGGUUAUGAAAGGAAUAAAUGGGCACUUCCAAAAUUAUAAAGUACAGUAAUCAAUUCUACACUUCAUCAUUUUCUUUAUUGCAUGGCAUGUUGUAUUGCAUAGAUGCGACUCUAGACGAACAUGAGAUGUGCCCACAAAAACAUGAUAGUGCAGAAAGAAGGAAGAAAAAGAUAUCAAACAAAAAUAACAAUAGUUCAAAAGUUCUCCUUGUCUCGUACCAUAGUCGACAAUUUGAUUUUAGCUCGAUUUAAAUCUUGAUUCAUGUAUUAAACCGCAUUUGUACCAAUAUUAUUCAUAUACUAAUGCACCUUUAAAUAAGAUAUAUUUUCAGCAUACGUGCAUUUGAUUAGACAUUUGGUAAAUCACUUUUCUAUUAUUUACUUAGAUAUUGGGGAGCCGGAGCACUAUGUUAAAGUCUCGAAUAAAAAAAUGCACCUUAAAAUAAGAUAAAACUCAUAAAAUGGAUUUCGAUAAGUCCCGAUGAAGGUCCACCCCUAAAAGGCAAAGUGAUUCUUGUUAGUCAAUUUUUUCAAUCACCUUUAAAGUGGUUCUAUUAUUUACUUGAAAUUGUUGUCGAGCAAAGGUACUUAAGAUAUUAAAAUUUGUAAGAGACAAGGAAACGUGAUGAGAUGCAAAAUGCGCUUCGAUUCGAAAUUGUUGAAACGAGGAACAUAUUUUGAUAUAUAAUUCAAUACUAUUUCUGUUUUGCAAGCUUGUUAAAACUAGCGUCUCGUAUUUGCAGGAAACGGAACAAAAGAGUGCAAGACUCCACCAUUUUAAAUAAAUAAAACACACCUUGAGAGCCAGAGGAAGAACAAAGUACAGAUCCUGCCAAUUUACAGCCUUAUAUAUUAUUAUUAUUAUAUAUAUUCCUCUACAAUUCUAUAUAUGUAUAUAUACAUAAACGCAUAUAUAUGUAGUACAUACAUGGAUCUCGGAUUCAGACUUUCGUCAAGUCAAGUAAAAUAUGAUCUGUACACGAAUUCAGACUUAUUCACACACACACACACACACACACACACACACACAGUCAUACACAGAGAUAUAAAUUUAUCGAGCAGGUUAAAAACGAAGAGAAAAUAGAAAACCUUUAUGCAUGGCAAUAGAACAUCACACAAGAAUUAAAAAUGGAGGAGCGUCGAAUUAGUUAAUAAGCUUACAUCAAAUCCAAUUGUUUGAAGCUUUCUCUCUGCAUAUGCAUCAAAACCCUUUCCGCUUGCAAAAUUUGGAAAAAUAAAAUUAAAAAACCCUAAAAAAAAUCGCAUCUUCACCCACCCCCACACCUCAUCCCCUUUGGAUAGGAUUCAAGCUUCCAUUACCCCUCUUGACGGAGAAUUUUAUUUUUUGCCGCUAUCUAAAAGUUGGUAUUGCGAAAGGUCUAGAGAGAGAGAGGGGGGGUAAAGAG
rnacentral:lncRNA from 1 species